GACGAACGCUGGCGGCGUGCUUAACACAUGCAAGUCGAACGGAAAGGCCCUGCUUUUGUGGGGUGCUCGAGUGGCGAACGGGUGAGUAACACGUGAGUAACCUGCCCUUGACUUUGGGAUAACUUCAGGAAACUGGGGCUAAUACCGGAUAGGAGCUCCUGCUGCAUGGUGGGGGUUGGAAAGUUUCGGCGGUUGGGGAUGGACUCGCGGCUUAUCAGCUUGUUGGUGGGGUAGUGGCUUACCAAGGCUUUGACGGGUAGCCGGCCUGAGAGGGUGACCGGCCACAAUGGGACUGAGAGACGGCGCAGACGCCUACGGGAGGCAGCAGUGGGGAGUAUUGCACAGUGGGCGGGAGCCUGAUGCAGCGGCGCCGCGUGCGGGAUGACGGCCUUCGGGUUGUGAACCGCUUUCGCCUGUGACGAAGCGUGAGUGACGGUAAUGGGUAAAGAAGCACCGGCUAACUACGUG
rnacentral:rRNA from 1 species